GACGAACGCUGGCGGCGUGCCUAAUACAUGCAAGUAGAACGCACAGUUUAUACCGUAGCUUGCUACACCAUAGACUGUGAGUUGCGAACGGGUGAGUAACGCGUAGGUAACCUGCCUGGUAGCGGGGGAUAACUAUUGAAAACGAUAGCUAAUACCGCAUAAUAUUGAUUAUUGCAUGAUAAUUAAUUGAAAGGUUCAAUUGCACCACUACCAGCUGGACCUGCGUUGUAUUAGCUAGUAGGUGAGGUAACGGCUCACCUAGGCGACGAUACAUAGCCGACCUGAGAGGGUGGUCGGCCACACUGGGAAUGAGACAAGGCCCAGACUUCUACGGGGAGGAGCAGUAGGGAAUCUUCGGAAAGUGAGGAAAGUCUGGCCGAGCAACGCCGCGUGGGUGAAGAAGGUUUUCGGAUCGUAAAGCUCUGUUGUAAGAGAAGAAAGGGUGUGAGAGUGGAAAGUUCACACUGUGACGGUAUCUUAACAGAAAGGGACGGCUAACUACGUG
rnacentral:rRNA from 1 species